rnacentral:sRNA from 1 species
CCCACAUGGUGGCCCACAACUCUCCAUAACUCCAGUUUCCGGGGCUGUAUCUGCAUCUCUGGAUAUUUCUGCCCAAAAGUUCCCUAUAUGCCAGAGGCAGUUCUGUGCCUUGUGAGGAUCUCACCCCCCCACCCCCCGUAAGCCAGAAGACAAAACAUUCUGAUUACCCACCAUAGGGAAGGCUGGGCCAGGCAGUCAUGGCCGUCCACACUCUGGUAAAGCUGAGAAGCCAGCAGACACCCACUCCAGGAAGCUGCAGGCCUCAUCUGGAGCUGAGGGCCUGGAGGGUCUCCCAUCCACAGUGGAGAGCUGAAGAGGCUGGGCUCUGUAGGUUGGAGUGGCAGCAGCAGCAGGAUAGACGCAUUUGCCAGCAAGUAGCAGCGGCAGGCAAGCAGCACUGCUUCUUCUUGGAUCCCUUUUUUAUUUAUUUAGUAAUAGAGCAUUCUGUGUUCUUUGACAAUUUUAUGCAAGUAAGUAAUGUAUUUGGAUUAUCUGAACCCCAACUUUCCCCUUCUGCUUCCUGUAGACACCCCCAAACAACUUUCCUUUUAAUCUCUUCCUCCCCUUUUUUUUUUUUUUGUAACCCAUUCUGUGCAGCCAGCGGUGCCUGCUGGGAUGCUGACCGGGCUUGUGCAGGUUACCACAGCUGUGGUGAGUUCACGAGUGCACUGAGUGUGUCAUGUCCUGAAGACGGCAUUUCACAGCUCUUCACCACCACAUCCCCCU